rnacentral:rRNA from 1 species
CAAUAGCGUAUAUUAAAGUUGUUGCAGUUAAAAAAGCUCGUAGUUGGAUUUUCUGGGAGGGUGCCAAUGUCCGUCAACGUGCGUGUGCAGCGGCGCCCUUCCAUCCUUCUGUUAACGCCUCUGGGCAUUUAUUUGCUGGUGGCGGGCUCAGAUAUUUUACCUUGAGAAAAUUAGAGUGUUUCAGGCAGGCUAGGCCGGAAUACAUUAGCAUGGAAUAAUAAGAUAGGACCUCGGUUCUAUUUUGUUGGUUUCUAGAGCUGAGGUAAUGAUUAAUAGGGAUAGUUGGGGGGCAUUCGUAUUUAACUGUCAGAGGUGAAAUUCUUGGAUUCGGUCAAGACUAACUUAUGCGAAAGCAUUCACCAAGGAUGUCUUCUUUAAUCAAGAACGAAAGUUGGGGGGAUCGAAGACGAUUAGAUACCA